rnacentral:lncRNA from 1 species
UAUCUCUCAUCUAUUUUUCUCCAACAAAACCCUCACCUUUCUCACUUUUCCAACAAUAUUGCAACCACUUCGCAAUGUUCACACAUCAGAGGAAGGCAACGACUACAACAACAUCAUUCACUCCCUACCGUGGCACCACUUUCAAUCUCCUUUCCUCCGUUGUGAAGGGUAAGUCCAUCCUUUUUGCAGAUGAACAACUGUUGGCUUAGCGAAACUACGAAGUAGGUGGUGGUUGUGUUUGAUGUUGGGAACAUGGAUGACUGGAGAAAGUUUAAGGAUAGUGAAUUGCUCGAUGAGGCUUUUACGCAGAGAAAAGACCAUGAACAGUCUUAGAUAAGGUUUUGGGGCUGGAAAAGGAGGUUAGUUUGAAGAUAGUGAAAUUUUUAUUUCUUUAAUUUGUUGAUGUCAAAGGCUUGAAGAACGAACAAAGGAUAUUAAAUGUCUUCCCAUUUCAUUAGCCUUGAUUGUUAAAUGGCUUAUUCUGUGCUAACCAUGACUUUAAAAUGAGUAAUUUUUGAAAGGGGAAUAAUAAUAAUCAUAAUAAUUUUAAUCAUAAUGAGAAUAACAAUAGUAACAACAAUAGCACAUCUUCAUCUUCCUCUUGUACCGCAUGAAUCAAUGUAAGUGUAUAUCAUUCUACCAUAGUACAAUGUUAGUGUCACAAACACCAUAUUAGCCUUGAUUGUUAAAUAUCUAAUUUUUUUUGUAUUGAACAAAAAUGGAAUAGGAAUGUGGGUUUUUGAAGAAGUGGGUAUGGCACAACUACUACACCAGUUAGGAAGUGCAAAAAAUAUUCAAAAUGAAUGAAAACGGUGUCGUAUAUGGUGGAGAGUAUGGUGCAAGAAGAGAGAUAAAGAGUUUGAAUUGAAUAUUUGGUUUAGAAUUAGAACAUGAAAGUUUGGAAGGAUGAAGAUGAAUUGAAAAUAAGAAGUUCUCGUGCAUGGUUCAUGUUAUUUUUUUAUUUUCAAUUACUUUCAUCUCAAGUUAAAUGAAGAGUAACAAAAAGAAACUGUAUUAUCAUUUUCAUCACAUUUUAAACCGUUG